AUCUACAUCAUUUGUAUUCAAAUAUCUUCUUCUCUUUUUUUUUUGUUUUUAAACCUUUCAUAUUUGAUUUGUAGAGUGUGUUUGAUUUGUUGUGUGAUAUGUCAAAUUCAAAAUUUGUAAAAUAGUUUUUCAACGUAUUAAACCUUUCAAAUUCAAAAAAUAUAUAUAUAUUGAAGUUAAAGGGUUAGAAAUAUAUGAAGUAUAAGAUA
rnacentral:lncRNA from 1 species